UGAACGGAUUAAUCUCUCAUAAUAACGGUAAUUUUAAAUGCUCGUGCGAUUUUAAGACCAGCUUCACUUUCUAGAUUGCUGUAUGAUUAUUCAAAUAUAGUGCUGCGCAGUAUCAAAUCUAUACGUAUUUUCUAUCAGGGAAGCAAGAUGAAAACAUCCGUUUUUUCCUUAACAGGACUCAUAGUCUGGAUUAUAUUCACCACUGCUGAAGGCACGACUGGAACAGUUGACUCUGUGUUUUUCGAUGUUGACGCCUCGAAACAAGGAACAGGAGAAGUCAUUGAAACACUGGCCUCUAGAUCUGAGCAACACUGCAGCUACCAAUGUUUUUCGAAUGAUCUAUGUGAGAGCGCUAACUAUCUCCAUAGAAACGGUCAAUGUAUUCUGCUGGAAUCUACAGAAAGCGUCGCGAAUACUGAUGACAACGCAGUGAUGCUUACCAAGGCUGGCUAAAAGAAAAUACAUUAAACAUUAGCUUUUAAAACUUCGGAUGAAUAUUCAUUAUAAAUACCAAAAUACUUUUUAAUGUGAUGCUGUGAUUUAAUUCGAAUAAUCGUAUUUUCUUAACGUUCCCAAUGUAUUCAAAAUCUUUUACUGGCCAAUGAGAUAAAGAUAGGCACUAUCAAUAUUUUGUUAAUAAUUCACAAUGGCCGUCUUAUUAUUCCUCCGACCGUCGUAUUCGCAUGGACUCGAGCAAAUACGAUUAUCCCCGGCCUAAUAACAUAAUGUUUUCCUUAGUUAACUAGCUCUUUUGAAUAUUCAUUACUUGAAUUGAGUCUCACAGAAAAACGCCGUCAUUUUUCUUCUUCUUUUAUUUCAUGCCAUGUCUACUUUCAAUGACGGCGUGAAAUGAAUUAAGACUUACCUGAGUAAACUCACCGCUUAUAUUCUGUUGAAAGUGUUGUAGUAAAUCAAAAACUGUUGCAAUCGGAUAUUAAGACGCAAUGCAGCAGUAUUUAUAGUAAACUCCUUGACUAGGAAAAAAGUCUUUCAAGAACGGUCUGUGCUAUGUGAAUUAAGCGACAGUCCAUCCAAAAUUAAUGACAUCUUCAAAUAUUCACUCAAAAACUUGGGAUUUUAACCCUCUUUACGAAAGAAAAAUACCUUCUUUGUGGAUGAAAAUAAAUUGAUGUGUCACCCGUAUUCCUAUCCAACGUAUAUCAACGCAAUGAAAUGUCCCCAGUAAAACAAAAUAACACGGUCAUGCAUCUAACAGUCCUCAAUUUUUUCUCACAUUUCUAGUCGUUUCCCCCAUAUAUAUACCGUCUAUUUGUUGACAUAAUUUCCCCAGAACAUUUCUUGAUUUGAUAUUUGCAUAAUUUUUUUAAUAGCUGAUCACAUAGUAAUUAUAGCUAUUCCAAAAUUAAUCUGCAAUAAUUAUGCAUGCCUAUUCCAUGCCUAGAGGUAAAAUAUUGCACAGUUUUAAAGAGUUAGAAAGUACCUAGUCACCUAACCCUACAAUGAAGUUUUGGGGAGUUGUCUCAAUCUUUUAUUUUUCAAAAUACUUUACCCAGUAUAAUUUUUUGCGGUUUACAUAACUUCUUUAGAUCAUGAUUCUUUCAUUUUUUUAUAUACCAUGAACUUUGAUGCAGUUUGCAACACGCAUAUCUGAAAUGAGUGAAAUAAAUUGUUGCAACUACAUAUUUUAUACUUUGAGUUCCAAUGCUUUCAUGUCUAAAACUGCAGUUGUAGCUCUUUAUUGUAUUCCUAUCUUAAACGAUGAGAAAGUUGGCAAUAUAACUGUGAAAACUAGUACUGCUUCUCUGUUUUUCUGAAACAAAAUUGUAUAGGUUUUAUGAUAAUUUGAUAAGUUAUUUUAUUGCUCUAUCAAAUAGAAUAAUUAUUCAGCAUUUCGCGUUUAUGUAUCUCAUUAUAUAAGGGUGUUGUGAGAGAAAUGCUAAACCAGCUUCAUUGUGUAGUGCAGUGCGUGUUUAUAAAGCACCAUUGAAACAAACUUAAUAAGUUGGCGGAUUUGUUGUGUAAUGUCGUAAUUAUUGCGGUACAUUUUAACUCACCUGUCACAUAGUGACAAGGUAAGCUUUUUUUAUCACCCGUCGUCCGUCGUCAGUCCGAGCGUCCGUCCGUGCGUGCGUCAACAAUUUCUUGUCUUCAAAAUAGUGGUUUCAUUUAUGAUUUUAUUUUAACCAAAUUUACACACAACUUGUAUCACUAUAAGAUCUUGGUUCCUUUCUUGAACUGGCCAGAUCCCAUAAUGGGUUCCAGAGUUAUGGCCCCUGAAUUGGCCAAAAUUAGCUAUUUUGACCUUGUCUGCACAAUAGCAGCUUGAUUUAUGACUAGAUUUUUACCAAACUUGCAGACAACUUGUAUCACUAUAAGAUCUUGGUUCCUUUCUUGAACUGACCAUAUUACAUUAUGGGUUCCAGAGUGAUGGCCCCUGAAAGGGCCAGAAUUAGCUAUUUUGAGGUCACCAAAUCAAAUCAAAGAAUAAGCCAUUUUACACCCUAGGAGGCACAAUUUUUAUUCUAUCUCCAUAAAUUUUGGUCAGAAUGUUUGUUUUCAUGAAUUUUUGAACGAUUUCAAAUCUGGGUCACUUGGGUUCAAAACCUGGGUCACUAGGUCAAAUCAAAGAAACUGCAUGUUUAUACUCAAUUUAAGAGGCGACGUUUUUUGGUCCAAUCUUAUUGAAAAUUGGUCAGAAUAUUUGUCUCCAUGAAAUCACUAGGUAAAACAUGUUUACACUGUUAUGGUGUGAUACACAGGUGAGUGAGCUAGGGCCAUCUUGGCCCUCUUGUUUUAAUCUCAUGCUUGUAGAUGCUUACUGUUAUUAUGUAUUGUGUCGGUCGUGUUACCUCUAUUUCACUUAUAUAUGAGCCUCAAAUAUGUUGCUAAAAGAUAACCUCAUUUAUUCAUGCAUACAUGAAAUAAGUGAAAUAUGACUUUACCUGAAAAGACAAAAGAAAUACUGUCAUUUUAUAUUUUAUGAACAUUUUUAAAGUAAUCAGCAAAAUUCUGAGAUACAGUUUUGUACCCAGUGCCAGAAAGAAGGUCUCUAUGAAGUUUGAAUAAAAAAUAAUGUUAUCACUCCAGCAUGAUUCAAAGGGAACAUACAAGAAACAAAAUGCACAUUUAGCUGAAUUCUGUAAUGUUUUGUAAUAAGUUCCUUCAAGCUUACUAAAUGACCUAUAUUUUGACCUUCAGUAAAAACGUUUGGCUACCAAAAUUAGCAUGUUAUUAUGCACAUUAUUGGGCAAAUUGGUGAUUGCUUUUUAACCUUACCCUGCUAAAUUUCUAAAAUGGACUGGUUUAUCAUUCAAUUUGGGGUGAUACCACUUAUUGUUAAAAGGGGUGUCCACAGAAAAUUUACAGGCUGAAUAGCGAACAGUGCAGACCAUGGUCAGCCUGAUCUUGGUCUGCACUGGUCGCAAAGGCUGAGUCACUUGACGCCCAGCAGGCUGACGGUUAAAAGAAUCUUUCUCUGGUUGUAUACUUGUAUAAGUAACAUGAUACAAAGUUGCAUAAUCUGAAUUUAACAUAGUAUUAGAAAUUCUGAGGGAACGAUCAUUUUAUAUUUUCUCACACACGAUUUACGAUUUUAUUAUACCAGAAGCUGCUUUACUUUUACCUAGCAAUGUUUAGUCAAUAAAUUAGUAAAGUAUGCAACACUU